rnacentral:lncRNA from 1 species
AAACAAGGCACAGGGCCUUUGGGCAUUACUGUAGGUUUAAUGAUGAUUGAAGAGAACAAUUUCUUAAUAAUUAGAUAUGGCCAACAGAGCAAGAAGUCUGUCUUAACCAUUGUUCAAGAAAAUCACUUUGUGCAACUACUACCAUAAAAUAACAUGCUGCUUAAUGAAUUUAUGAAUUUGUAUCAAAUACCUGUCUCUGUAGCUCAAAUAGAAAAUUUAAACAGGGUUUUUGUAUUGACAUCAUAUUGUAG